ACCACUAAAAAUAUAGGACUCUCGGUUUCACCGAAUUCCAACAUAGACUGAGGUCAAUUGAACAAGUCAACAUACGAAGUAUAACACGAAGCUUAAUUUACUUUAUUAAAGGUGCUUCUGACAAAACCCAGUAUGAGGCACUCCAGGGCCUUAACGGAGACACAUUUUCUGAAGAAAAGUGGCCAACUGCCUCGAAGGAGAAGACAGAAUGCUGAUGGAAGAAAGGAUAGAGCAGAACGGGCCAAAGGCGGGUACUCAGCUAGGAACAAGAACCAACAACCAACUGGCUUCCCCUGGGAGCCUGCCCAGGAAGCUUCCAUUGGGCAAGAGGAGUGAAAAGAAGUCCAUGCAGUCCUUUCAGGAGAAAACCUAUGGCAGGGAGCAUCAGAGUGUGGCUGUAACACAUCACAUCAAGCAGAUAUCUGACCAUUUUCAUGCAAAACGAAAUCCGUACGUACUCUGGGGGAUGUCCUCAGCCCGGUAGAUCUUCAGCAUGAAGGUCACCCACCGGAGAGCAAUGCCAGCUGGGAGAAGCAGGUUACUUUCCACAUCGUCACUGUCAUUAUCACGGUCCCGUUUCUCAGGCUUUUGGAGACAUGUGAUUAAAAUUGUACACAUGCAAAGGAGCACUUAAAAAAAAUCCAAGCGACACUUGCAAAAUGAAGCAACUGAAACUGUUCCACUGGGAUUUUCUGUGUUUGGGGCUUAAGGAUUUCCUUCAACCUCAAAACUGUUCUACAGAGUGACUGCUCGUAUGUUUCUAUGUCCUUGUGUAGUCAUGAAUAUUAAAUGGUCAGGGGAACGGGAACAGAGAGGCCGAGACAAAAACAGAGUCAGAGAGAAAACACAUGUGGAUGUGCUUUUAACUUCUCUCUGGUCCCUUUCCCAGUGUACUGCCCAAAUUCCCACAAUAAUCACAAACCCUUUAAGUAAUGGUACCGAAUUCUGAAAGGAAGUCAUGCUCUGGCAGAUAGAAUCAGUCUUUCUAAUAAUGCAAGAAAUCAUGAAAACACACAUGUUCUCUGAGUUGCUCACUCGUGGACAUCAGGGUGCAGGUGAGUCAGGGUGAUGACCUACGAUGGUGGAAAGGUACCUUUUUGAGAAUCGGAGGAAGUGGAGGCUGAGGGUGGCUGACUGGAUGAAAGCUACGCUCCCUUCCACAACUAUUGGUGCCAAGUUGCUUAAGCCCUAAUCCUUUUUUUUGUGUGUGUGUGAAAAGAAUAAGUUCAGAAUCCAGGGACUCACAGGAGGCUCAUCUCCAGUUCCCAGGACAAACAUGCUGACUUUCAUGUAACCUUUAGCACCGGAGCUAGCAUCUUCCGGGUCAUUGAGAAGAAGCCACUUUCUCAUGACAGCAUGACCUAAAACAAAGAAAGCAACAGGACAGAGACACUCUACGGCUGUGCUGGUGGGGCUGCGAUUUCCUCUGUCCUAAGCAGAUGUCUCUGGCAGCUUCAUACUGGCAGCCCAGAUUCCCCAGAGAAGUCCUUGUGUUAGCCUCCUCUGUUCUCAUCCUCCUUCUCUCUCCAUCCCUCCCAGGGUGACUUAAACAAAAGGCUCUAAUCUUUACUAAUUGACUUCAUAAUCUCUUCUUGAUAAGGUAGAAAUUAUUGUCAUAAAACACAGAAAUUACUUAUUUAUAAAUGUCAAAUGGACAUUCACACUAAGCUACUGUUACUCAUUUUAACCAAAUACUCUCCCCCAACAAGAAAAAAGCUUUUUAUCCUUUGACUUUGACUCCUUGACCUCCUGAAGGAUUCUUAGAAUCAGGAUAAGAGGAAUGAACUCCAGACUUCAAAUUGAUGGGGGUGAACAUUACUCACCAGGCUCAUCAUAAACAAAUCCAACAUCAAUCUGGAAAAACAAUUUACAGUAGGUUCAGUAGGUUUUUAAGUCAGUCCCAUCACUUCAAUGAAAGCAUCAUCAUUACAUUUAAACACAGUGCUCCUGGCUAGACUUAAAUCUCUUCAAUUAAAUAGGAAUUUCCAUCUUAUUCUUUCUGUGCCUUCCCUGAUGCAUGAGGUAUAGACAGCUCCCAGUCAAUCACUGCUGACGAAUGAUUUAGUCUUAAAGCUAGAGGGGCUGGAGAUUUAGCUCAGCGGCAUAAGCGCCUGCCUUGCAAUCAGGCAGUCGUGAGUUCGAUCCCCGGUACCGAUAAAAACGAAAAAGACAAAAAAAAAAAAAGCUAGAACAGACCAUGAAAGUAGAGGUGACCAACUUGUCUCAGUUUCUUGACUCUCUCCCAGUUCUGGCACUAAAGUCCAAAGCCAACUGUGACCAUUAACCACCCUCAAAUUCAUCUAGCUCAGCUUCCUACCCAACAAUCCUCCUCCUCCAAUCACUACUAAUGCUAAUAUUACUGUCACCAUCAAUCAGGCACCUUCAUGUGCCAGGUGCUGGGCUGGAUGUUUACACACACAGGUCUACGUGACCGGGAUCAUCCUUCAGGACUUUCACUGACUGAAGUUUCUUCCUUCAAGAAGCAGCUGCCCAUUCCCUGGAGAGCUGCUGAGCAGCCAACCAAGUCUAUCUGUCUGUUACUUCCAGUGUAAGUUUCUUAGAAAACCAGACUGACUGCUUUACCUCCUCGGCUUUCCUUUCACGUUCCAAAUUUACAGCAAUUGGUUUUAUGGGAGGAGCUCUGGGGCCGUGGUUAAAUGCAGCUGAGUGAUGGUUUCUCACCAAUGAGGCACCCCUGCCCUUUGAAGGAAUAAGCGGGCUUCUAUCCAUGGGGCAGGCUAGCAGCAGCUGGAGGGCACCUUGCUUUGAGGGACUGUUAGUGUGAUAUUUUGGAAGAAGACAGGAACCAGAUAGCCCUCUGCAAAGACCACAUGACCCUAAGAUGUCACCAAGACAAGCGCUCCUAGACUGCGCAUGAAUCAAUUUCUCUAUUAUGAGAGUUCUGAUUUUUAUGUCAAUUGAAGGAAGCAGAUUGUUGUCACCUACCUUAAACUCCCCCAUUAGACAGUCUGCUCUCAAAGAAUGGGAAUUGUAAACCUGAGAGAGAGAAGAAUGGUGAAGGCCAGCCACCUUGGCGGGGGGGGGGAGCCCUCCCCUCCUACCCCCCCCCGUACCCGGAUGCUGAUGAUCUCAUCCAUCAGUUCAGAAGGGGUCAUGUGAACGUUGUAGAAAAACAGCUGUAAGACAGUGAAGAACACGUUUAAACAUUAGCAGGGCUUCCGGGCUAGUGGGAAUCUGUGUUAGAGUUGUGAAUUUUAUGAUUUAGAAUUAAGCAUAGAAAUGUUUUUGAAUCAUAUAUUUAUAAUACAUACACUCCACAACAGAUAAAUUCUUAAAUUCCAAAAAUAAAUAAAUAAAUAAAAUGAACUA